GCCUGUGUGGAUGUGAGCGUCUGUUAGCGGUUUCCUAUUUCAUUUUAAUGAUAUAAAAUGAUAUAUAAAGAUUUUUUAUUAUUAUUUUAUCAGUAUUUUUCUGCUGCUACACUGCAUUGAUGAGAUGAUUUCUUAGGAAUAGCACAGAUGAAUGAUAUAAUCAUCAUGAUCAUCAAUCAUCGUCGUUAUCAGGAUAUUCACGAGAGCGGAGCAACUUUUCCAUAAACUUCUGAUGCUGACUCAGAGGAUGUAGUGAUGGUACCAGAGAUCCACUGCCCUCAUCAGACAAGAAUCUUAUGGUGUUCAGACACGUCACCUUUGAAUGACUGGGAUCUUGAUCUUCAGACACCUGAUAUUAUGCAAAUAUUUUUACUUCUUUGGAGCUCUAGAUAAAACAAACACUGUUCACAAGUACACAAGAGGUUGCACUUUAUUCUUAUUAGUCUAUGCUGAUCUUGAAUUGGCAUACCAACAGCAUAUGAUUGUUAAGGGGAUAGUUCAAAAAUAAAAAAUAUAUAUUUUUUUUAAUUUUACUCACCCUCAUGCUCACUGGACAGGUAAACACAAGUUAAGAUUUUUAGGUAAAUAAUUAAUCUCUGUGAGUCCUAAAGAUGCUUUAAAAACCACACACAGCGACCAUGACCGUAAUCCAUCUGACCUUAGUUUUUAAAUCGGUAUCUUUUGAAGUGAAUCAAUAGAUAAGAAAAACAUUAAUAAUAUAAACUUUUGACUAUUAAUAAUAGCUUCCACUCAACUGUCAAAUGUGCAAGGGUUACAGUUCACUUGUGUUAUGUGAAUGAAAGAAUUUUCUUUUUUUGGGGUGGACUAUCCCUGUAAAGACUGAUAUUGCACUCCAGUACAUUACAUACUCAUUCACUGUUUUGUAACUUAUACUGUAACAGGAACUGUUGAAAGGAUCAUUGCAGUGUUUAAAACAUAUGAAUUUUAAACAUUAUGUAUGUUAUGUUCUUGUGCAUUUUGUGUGGUAAUGUAAAUUAUAAUACUACUGUGCAUUAUUUAUACUAUGCAGUUAGUGUUUUGUGGAUUCUGGUCUUUCCUGUCACAACAUAAUUGCAUCCAAGACUUUCACUUUGAUACUUGUUUAUAUGCUAUAGUGACAAUAAAGAAUGUCAAUUUAUUUGAA